AAAGGAUUAAGUGUCCUGGUCCAUAUAAGAGCUGGUUAACCCUCAGAGAGUCCAUAUGCUUCUUUCGUUCCCAGUGGGACCACACAGUCCUAUAGGCCAAUGCCUGUCUGGAGUGGAAAAGGAUUUUGUGGUCUGCGUGGACCCUGUGUCUUCCCCUGUGCUUGGUGAUCCAGGACCUCAUGGCUGUGAGCCCCUCCAGAAACACAGGAAGUGAGGGCGAGCAAAUUCCAAAAUGAGACAAAGUAUGCAAGAUCAAAACAUCCAACAGAUGCCUCUGUGUUUGACAAUGGGGAGUUUAUGAGGUGGCUUCUGCACAAUGCUUAUUUUGCCCCAAAGAAGUGAAUCCAUGACCGAAAAAGAGCCAAGAAGAACUAACAUGUGCUGCUCUCAUAUGAGAUGUAUGCGCCAUGUUGGGAGCAUGAAGUGCAUCCCAGCCUUGCACUCUUACAGUUGUUUGCCUCACUCAGCCUUUGAAAACCCUGCCAUCUGCCCAGCAAGGUGGGCUAGAUCUCCUGUGGACAGAACCCUGCAGACCUCAGCAGGCACAGCUCCCACUUCACCCGAUGCAAUUUGGCAUUGCUCCUGUUCUCUUUGCAUUCUACUCCACCACCGUUCUCAGUUCCACCACCUGCCAGCCCAAACAGUUGUGUUACAACAGUUGGUCAUUUCCAAUUCGCCUCUGGUCUACUCCUUCGACCUAACAGUCCCAAGCACAGAUACAUUUUCUCCUCCUUCCCUGGGACUCUCUCGGUGAGGAUUCACACUCAGGGGGAGCUCACCUUGGUAUAUGGGCUGGAUUCACAUAACUGAUGUCCUCAGAGUCUUCCUUCAAUUUCUGCACUUCCUCUUUGAAGUUAAAUAAAAACAACCUGACUAUGUCUGAUUAAGGCCAUCUGGGUGCCAUGUGAACACAGCUCUCCUUCGCUUGUCACAUCAAUUGCAUAACAGGAACAGUUAUUAUUUGGGUCACUGAAUGAAAACCAUCAACAAGAAACACUUCCAAAAGCCAUCUACAUGGAAUUUUGUAAUCUUGCCUGUCCCAAGUUGAGGUAGAAGUGGGUCAAGAAAAAAAAUCAAAUGGAAUCCAAUUUUGAAAAGUUGGAGAACUGUGUCUAGAGUAUAUUGACAAGCUGCCCCACAUGGAAAAAGAAGUCCCAAAGGCUUGGUUAAAUAACCAAAGCUGAUCCCUAAACUGCCAUGCACAUGCCAGGAAGAGAAAUUUGUGUUGCUGCUUUUGAGAUGGGAGGAAGGUGAGGCAAGAAACAGGAAUUGAUCACACAGAAAGGAAGAUGGAUGACAUUCUCAACAGAUUUUUAAAAAUCCAACCUUAAUUCUGCAAGGAGUUUCUCACACAAGCCUUUUCACAAAAGACCCCAAGUGACAUAAGAAAAAAGUGCCUUCAAGACACCGGCAUAGGAAAAAACUUUAUGAACAAAUCCUCAGUAGCACAGGAACUAGCACAAAGAAUCAACAAUUAGAAUUUCAUCUUAUUAAAAAGCUUCUACACUGCAAAAGAAACCACCAACAGAGCUAAGAGACAACCUACAAUGUGGGAAAAAAU